GAUGAACGCUGGCGGCGUGCUUAACACAUGCAAGUCGAACGGAAAGGCCCAAGCUUGCUUGGGUCCUCGAGUGGUGAACGGGUGAGUAACACGUGGGUGAUCUGCCCUGCACUUCGGGAUAAGCCUGGGAAACUGGGUCUAAUACCGGAUAGGACCACAUUUUGGAUGGUGUGGUGGAAAGUUUUUCGGUGUGGGAUGAGCUCGCGGCCUAUCAGCUUGUUGGUGGGGUAAUGGCCUACCAAGGCGUCGACGGGUAGCCGGCCUGAGAGGGUGUACGGCCACAUUGGGACUGAGAUACGGCCCAGACUCCUACGGGAGGCAGCAGUGGGGAAUAUUGCACAAUGGGCGCAAGCCUGAUGCAGCGACGCCGCGUGGGGGAUGACGGCCUUCGGGUUGUAAACUCCUUUCGCUAGGGACGAAGCGUUAUGUGACGGUACCUGGAGAAGAAGCACCGGCUAACUACGUG
rnacentral:rRNA from 1 species